rnacentral:rRNA from 1 species
GAUGAACGCUGGCGGCGUGCCUAAUACAUGCAAGUCGAGCGAACAGACGAGGAGCUUGCUCCUCUGACGUUAGCGGCGGACGGGUGAGUAACACGUGGAUAACCUACCUAUAAGACUGGGAUAACUUCGGGAAACCGGAGCUAAUACCGGAUAAUAUAUUGAACCGCAUGGUUCAAUAGUGAAAGACGGUUUUGCUGUCACUUAUAGAUGGAUCCGCGCCGCAUUAGCUAGUUGGUAAGGUAACGGCUUACCAAGGCAACGAUGCGUAGCCGACCUGAGAGGGUGAUAGGCCACACUGGAACUGAGACACGGUCCAGACUCCUACGGGAGGCAGCAGUAGGGAAUCUUCCGCAAUGGGCGAAAGCUUGACGGAGCAACGCCGCGUGAGUGAUGAAGGUCUUCGGAUCGUAAAACUCUGUUAUUAGGGAAGAACAAAUGUGUAAGUAACUAUGCACGUCUUGACGGUACCUAAUCAGAAAGCCACGGCUAACUACGUG